rnacentral:rRNA from 1 species
CCUACGGGAGGCAGCAGUGAGGAAUAUUGGUCAAUGGACGCAAGCCUGAACCAGCCAAGUAGCGUGCAGGAUGACGGCCCUCCGGGUUGUAAACUGCUUUUAGUUGGGAAUAAAAGGGGGCUCGUGAGCCUCGUAUUGUAUGUAUCAUCAGAAAAAGGACCGGCUAAUUCUGUGCCAGCAGCCGCGGUAAUACGGAAGGUCCGGGCGUUAUCCGGAUUUAUUGGGUUUAAAGGGAGCGUAGGCGGGCUUUUAAGUCAGCUGUGAAAGUCCGCGGCUCAACCGUGGAAUUGCAGUUGAAACUGGAGGCCUUGAGUGCAGACAGGGAUGGCGGAAUUCAUGGUGUAGCGGUGAAAUGCUUAGAUAUCAUGAAGAACUCCGAUCGCGAAGGCAGGUGUCCGGGGUGCAACUGACGCUGAGGCUCGAAAGUGCGGGUAUCAAACAGGAUUAGAUACCCUGGUAGUC